rnacentral:rRNA from 1 species
CAAGGCGAACCGGGGGAACUGAAACAUCUAAGUACCCCGAGGAAAAGAAAUCAACCGAGAUUCCCCCAGUAGCGGCGAGCGAACGGGGAGGAGCCCAGAACCUGAAUCAGCGUAUGUGUUAGUGGAAGCGUCUGGAAAGUCGCACGGUACAGGGUGAUAGUCCCGUACACAAAAAUGCAUAUGUUGUGAGUUCGAUGAGUAGGGCGGGACACGUGACAUCCUGUCUGAAUAUGGGGGGACCAUCCUCCAAGGCUAAAUACUCCUGACUGACCGAUAGUGAACCAGUACCGUGAGGGAAAGGCGAAAAGAACCCCGGCGAGGGGAGUGAAAUAGAACCUGAAACCGUGUACGUACAAGCAGUGGGAGCACCUUCGUGGUGUGACUGCGUACCUUUUGUAUAAUGGGUCAGCGACUUAUAUUUUGUAGCAAGGUUAACCGAAUAGGGGAGCCGUAGGGAAACCGAGUCUUAACUGGGCGAAUAGUUGCAAGGUAUAGACCCGAAACCCGGUGAUCUAGCCAUGGGCAGGUUGAAGGUUGGGUAACACUAACUGGAGGACCGAACCGACUAAUGUUGAAAAAUUAGCGGAUGACUUGUGGCUGGGGGUGAAAGGCCAAUCAAACCGGGAGAUAGCUGGUUCUCCCCGAAAGCUAUUUAGGUAGCGCCUCGUGAACUCAUCUUCGGGGGUAGAGCACUGUUUCGGCUAGGGGGUCAUCCCGACUUACCAAACCGAUGCAAACUCCGAAUACCGAAGAAUGUUAUCACGGGAGACACACGGCGGGUGCUAACGUCCGUCGUGAAGAGGGAAACAACCCAGACCGCCAGCUAAGGUCCCAAAGUCAUGGUUAAGUGGGAAACGAUGUGGGAAGGCAUAGACAGCCAGGAUGUUGGCUUAGAAGCAGCCAUCAUUUAAAGAAAGCGUAAUAGCUCACUGGUCGAGUCGGCCUGCGCGGAAGAUGUAACGGGGCUAAACCAUGCACCGAAGCUGCGGCAGCGACGCUUAGGCGUUGUUGGGUAGGGGAGCGUUCUGUAAGCCGUUGAAGGUGACCUGUGAGGGUUGCUGGAGGUAUCAGAAGUGCGAAUGCUGACAUAAGUAACGAUAAUGCGGGUGAAAAACCCGCACGCCGGAAGACCAAGGGUUCCUGUCCAACGUUAAUCGGGGCAGGGUGAGUCGACCCCUAAGGCGAGGCUGAAAAGCGUAGUCGAUGGGAAACAGGUUAAUAUUCCUGUACUUGGUGUUACUGCGAAGGGGGGACGGAGAAGGCUAGGCUAGCCGGGCGACGGUUGUCCCGGUUUAAGCAUGUAGGCGGAGUGACUUGGUAAAUCCGGUUGCUUAUCA